CCUACGGGAGGCAGCAGUGGGGAAUUUUGCGCAAUGCUCGUAAGAGUGACGCAGCGACGCCGCGUGAAUGACGAAGGCCCUCGGGUCGUAAAGUUCUUUCGACAGGGAAGAAAAUGCCUAUAAGUAACUGUGUAUGCAUUGACGGUACCUGUAUAAGCAGCCCCGGCUAACUCCGUGCCAGCAGCCGCGGUAAUACGGAGGGGGCGAGCGUUGUUCGGAGUGACUGGGCGUAAAGAGCAGGGAGGCGGUGUUGUAAGUCAUUAGUCAAAGACUAGAGCUCAACUUUAGUAAGGCUAGUGAUACUAUAAUACGAGAGUAGCAGAGAGGAUUGCAGAAUGCCUGGUGUAGCGGUGAAAUGCGUAGAUAUCAGGAGGAAUACCGUUAGCGAAGGCGGCAAUCUGGCUGGAAACUGACGCUGAGGUGCGAAAGCGUGGGUAGCAAACAGGAUUAGAUACCCGAGUAGUC
rnacentral:rRNA from 1 species